CAUUGAUUGAUCAAUUGAUAAUGGCAACACAGCAACGUAUCUCAAGGUGGCAGAAUCGCAAAGUUGGAAUUGUUGCAAAGAGGCAAUGCGUUGAGGUUACACUCAAAGGUAUCCCCGGGAUCUCUUAAGCGAUGACUAAGCGCGGUCUUUUGUACAACACUUCUCCCUGCUGCAAUGACUGAAGCCAACCCUUCUAUUUCUUGCAAUUACCCAGGUUUGGCAAAUGUAGUACAAUCAAAGUCUUGAGCUCUAUACGGUCUACCCAUGCUACCCGGGAUUUUAGCUAUAGCAGACCUACCCAGGUUGCUAAAUCAGUUCAGUGCUAUUAUUAUGGAGAUCCGCAUAGUGGAACAAACCUGCAAAGUGGGAAGAUUCUCCCCUCACUCUGCCUGUGGCACUUUGCGAAACGCUGUGCAAUAAUCAAAGGAUGUGUGGCCCAAUGGAUAAGGCGCCUGCCUACGGAGCAGGAGAUUCCAGGUUCGAUCCCUGGCACGUUCAGUAAAUGGAUGCAAGGAAGCUCUGUUUUCAGACGUCGUAGCUGCAGUCACGUCUCUUGCCAUCGGUGUCUUUUCUUUGAAUCCAUUGAUUGAUCAAUUGAUAAUGGCAACACAGCAACGUAUCUCAAGGUGGCAGAAUCGCAAAGUUGGAAUUGUUGCAAAGAGGCAAUGCGUUGAGGUUACACUCAAAGGUAUCCCCGGGAUCUCUUAAGCGAUGACUAAGCGCGGUCUUUUGUACAACACUUCUCCCUGCUGCAAUGACUGAAGCCAACCCUUCUAUUUCUUGCAAUUACCCAGGUUUGGCAAAUGUAGUACAAUCAAAGUCUUGAGCUCUAUACGGUCUACCCAUGCUACCCGGGAUUUUAGCUAUAGCAGACCUACCCAGGUUGCUAAAUCAGUUCAGUGCUAUUAUUAUGGAGAUCCGCAUAGUGGAACAAACCUGCAAAGUGGGAAGAUUCUCCCCUCACUCUGCCUGUGGCACUUUGCGAAACGCUGUGCAAUAAUCAAAGGAUGUGUGGCCCAAUGGAUAAGGCGCCUGCCUACGGAGCAGGAGAUUCCAGGUUCGAUCCCUGGCACGUUCAGUAAAUGGAUGCAAGGAAGCUCUGUUUUCAGACGUCGUAGCUGCAGUCACGUCUCUUGCCAUCGGUGUCUUUUCUUUGAAUCCAUUGAUUGAUCAAUUGAUAAUGGCAACACAGCAACGUAUCUCAAGGUGGCAGAAUCGCAAAGUUGGAAUUGUUGCAAAGAGGCAAUGCGUUGAGGUUACACUCAAAGGUAUCCCCGGGAUCUCUUAAGCGAUGACUAAGCGCGGUCUUUUGUACAACACUUCUCCCUGCUGCAAUGACUGAAGCCAACCCUUCUAUUUCUUGCAAUUACCCAGGUUUGGCAAAUGUAGUACAAUCAAAGUCUUGAGCUCUAUACGGUCUACCCAUGCUACCCGGGAUUUUAGCUAUAGCAGACCUACCCAGGUUGCUAAAUCAGUUCAGUGCUAUUAUUAUGGAGAUCCGCAUAGUGGAACAAACCUGCAAAGUGGGAAGAUUCUCCCCUCACUCUGCCUGUGGCACUUUGCGAAACGCUGUGCAAUAAUCAAAGGAUGUGUGGCCCAAUGGAUAAGGCGCCUGCCUACGGAGCAGGAGAUUCCAGGUUCGAUCCCUGGCACGUUCAGUAAAUGGAUGCAAGGAAGCUCUGUUUUCAGACGUCGUAGCUGCAGUCACGUCUCUUGCCAUCGGUGUCUUUUCUUUGAAUCCAUUGAUUGAUCAAUUGAUAAUGGCAACACAGCAACGUAUCUCAAGGUGGCAGAAUCGCAAAGUUGGAAUUGUUGCAAAGAGGCAAUGCGUUGAGGUUACACUCAAAGGUUUGGCAAAUGUAGUACAAUCAAAGUCUUGAGCUCUAUACGGUCUACCCAUGCUACCCGGGAUUUUAGCUAUAGCAGACCUACCCAGGUUGCUAAAUCAGUUCAGUGCUAUUAUUAUGGAGAUCCGCAUAGUGGAACAAACCUGCAAAGUGGGAAGAUUCUCCCCUCACUCUGCCUGUGGCACUUUGCGAAACGCUGUGCAAUAAUCAAAGGAUGUGUGGCCCAAUGGAUAAGGCGCCUGCCUACGGAGCAGGAGAUUCCAGGUUCGAUCCCUGGCACGUUCAGUAAAUGGAUGCAAGGAAGCUCUGUUUUCAGACGUCGUAGCUGCAGUCACGUCUCUUGCCAUCGGUGUCUUUUCUUUGAAUCCAUUGAUUGAUCAAUUGAUAAUGGCAACACAGCAACGUAUCUCAAGGUGGCAGAAUCGCAAAGUUGGAAUUGUUGCAAAGAGGCAAUGCGUUGAGGUUACACUCAAAGGUAUCCCCGGGAUCUCUUAAGCGAUGACUAAGCGCGGUCUUUUGUACAACACUUCUCCCUGCUGCAAUGACUGAAGCCAACCCUUCUAUUUCUUGCAAUUACCCAGGUUUGGCAAAUGUAGUACAAUCAAAGUCUUGAGCUCUAUACGGUCUACCCAUGCUACCCGGGAUUUUAGCUAUAGCAGACCUACCCAGGUUGCUAAAUCAGUUCAGUGCUAUUAUUAUGGAGAUCCGCAUAGUGGAACAAACCUGCAAAGUGGGAAGAUUCUCCCCUCACUCUGCCUGUGGCACUUUGCGAAACGCUGUGCAAUAAUCAAAGGAUGUGUGGCCCAAUGGAUAAGGCGCCUGCCUACGGAGCAGGAGAUUCCAGGUUCGAUCCCUGGCACGUUCAGUAAAUGGAUGCAAGGAAGCUCUGUUUUCAGACGUCGUAGCUGCAGUCACGUCUCUUGCCAUCGGUGUCUUUUCUUUGAAUCCAUUGAUUGAUCAAUUGAUAAUGGCAACACAGCAACGUAUCUCAAGGUGGCAGAAUCGCAAAGUUGGAAUUGUUGCAAAGAGGCAAUGCGUUGAGGUUACACUCAAAGGUUUGGCAAAUGUAGUACAAUCAAAGUCUUGAGCUCUAUACGGUCUACCCAUGCUACCCGGGAUUUUAGCUAUAGCAGACCUACCCAGGUUGCUAAAUCAGUUCAGUGCUAUUAUUAUGGAGAUCCGCAUAGUGGAACAAACCUGCAAAGUGGGAAGAUUCUCCCCUCACUCUGCCUGUGGCACUUUGCGAAACGCUGUGCAAUAAUCAAAGGAUGUGUGGCCCAAUGGAUAAGGCGCCUGCCUACGGAGCAGGAGAUUCCAGGUUCGAUCCCUGGCACGUUCAGUAAAUGGAUGCAAGGAAGCUCUGUUUUCAGACGUCGUAGCUGCAGUCACGUCUCUUGCCAUCGGUGUCUUUUCUUUGAAUCCAUUGAUUGAUCAAUUGAUAAUGGCAACACAGCAACGUAUCUCAAGGUGGCAGAAUCGCAAAGUUGGAAUUGU
rnacentral:tRNA from 1 species